GUGGCAUCACCAGGCUGGGCCCCUACUCUCUGGACAAGGACAGCCUCUACCUCAAUGGUUACAAUGAGCGUGGUCCAGAUGAGCCUCCUCCAACUCCUGAGUUAACUACCACAUUCCUGCCUUCGCCCAAGACAUCUGCGCAGCCAGAAACCACCACAGAAGCGAAGCCGUCCACUCCUCUACCAACAGAAGUGCCCACCAGAAGUUCCAGCUCCCAGAAUUUCCAGCUCAACUUCACCAUCACCAACCUGCUCUAUACCCAGGACAUGGCUCAGCCAGGCACAGCCAGACACCAACGGAACAAAAGAAGCCUGGAGAAUGCGGUGAGAGAGCCUUACAUUGUGUCCACUCGGAC
rnacentral:lncRNA from 1 species